AGUCCAUUUCUGCUCACUGUAGAGUCUGUAAAGGGGCAGCAGUUAAAAUAAAAGCGCCCCAUUAAGUAUUUAUUUAUUUAUUAAAUUGUGUUUAUGAUGUUUGUUGAGGUCUUUGUCCUGCUUAAGGACUCCUCAAAGACUAAAUUUUUCUUGUCAGAAGGAAACCACAAAGGAAGACAUCAAACUACCUGAUUAAAUCCGUUUUUGUGGACCACAGUAGAAGAAACAGAUUCAAGUGGAAGAAGGGGAAUAAGCGUGAACCUCCAGAGCACACCAGGCUCCGACUAACACACAUUUCUGUGGAAAUAAACUUCAAGAAAUCUACAACUCCACCUGGCAGUGAUGUGUGACGUCUUUAAUGCAGGCUGGACUCUGGGGCUCACUUAACAAUCCCUCCUUUUGUCACCGUCUUCAUUUUGAAGAAUCAUUGCCUCAUGAAUAUUCCUCAAUAUUGGUGAAUAAUGAAGCGUGAACGUCUGAAGUGCAGGUGAGGUCUCUACCCAACAUUUUCUUGGGGUCUUUUUUGCAGUCUAAUGUGUAUUGAAGGCCCGCUGCUGAACAAUUUAUCCACUGGGCUACAUUUAUGCUGCAAUGCUUUCAUUUUAUGAGCAGGAAAAUGUGGGCAAGUGACAGGGAAAAAAAGACAUGAGAGGAAUGAAUAAAAGCAAAAAGGCAGAUAGACGUGAGGGUUUUUUUCUUCUUUUAAGGAGUAAAGGUGAUUAAAAAAAAAAA